rnacentral:rRNA from 1 species
CCUACGGGAGGCAGCAGUGAGGAAUAUUGGUCAAUGGACGAGAGUCUGAACCAGCCAAGUAGCGUGAAGGAUGACUGCCCUAUGGGUUGUAAACUUCUUUUAUAUGGGAAUAAAAUGUUCCACGUGUGGGAUUUUGUAUGUACCAUAUGAAUAAGGAUCGGCUAACACCGUGCCAGCAGCCGCGGUAAUACGGAGGAUCCGAGCGUUAUCCGGAUUGAUUGGGUUUAAAGGGAGCGUAGGAGGAUUGUUAAGUCAGUUGUGAAAGUUUGCGGCUCAACCGUAAAAUUGCAGUUGAAACUGGCAGUCUUGAGUACAGUAGAGGUGGGCGGAAUUCGUGGUGUAGCGGUGAAAUGCUUAGAUAUCACGAAGAACUCCGAUUGCGAAGGCAGCUCACUGGACUGCAACUGACACUGAGGCUCGAAAGUGUGGGUAUCAAACAGGAUUAGAUACCCUGGUAGUC